UUCUAAAACAUUAUAUAUGCAUGUGUGAAAUUUCUUCCAAACACACAAUUCCCUCUAAAAUUUCAUUCUCACACCCGCCGUAUCACCUAAAAAUCUAUAAAUUCUCAUACCCUCAUUUAUCUUCUAUCUAUGGACUAUCACCCUAAAAAGCUAUUAACUAUCUCAAAAACCCUAGCCUUUACUCUCAGCCAUCUUCAAUUUCCCUAACCCCCCAAGAGCCCAUAACUUUAUCCUCCUCAUCAUCAAUAACCUCACAUCCCAAACCCUAAGCCUCUCAUUUCUUUGUUCUCACCAUAGCCGUUGAGAGCUACUAAUGCCGAAAUAGAAAAGCUUGAAGUCCACCACUAGCCAACUAGUUAUCAAUGGCAUUAAACAUUUUCUAAUCUUGAAACAGAGAUGCUCUAUGGUAACUCUCUGCUUUGAUUUUUUUUUUUCUGGGUUUAUCUAAUGUUAGGGCUUGUAUGAAGAUUGUUUCAUAUGUGUUUUCCUCCUUUUGUGCUUUACUCUUUUAAUUUGUUGUUUCUGAAAUCUAUUGGGAUUGAUUUCGGUUUUGAUUUUAUGUUUGGGUUUUGUUAUUUUAGAUUCAUGUGUUUGGGAUUUUGAAAUCUAGUUUUCUCAUUGAUCUUUUAGGCUUGAUUUAAAAAUGCGUUGUGUGGUUUUGAACAAUACUUCUAGGGUUUGAAUUCAAGUCAGCGAGAUUGACACAACAAUUUGAACCUGUGUCAGGAGAUUUUUCAAUGGCAAGUUUGAGAUUCUGUUCUUCAUGACGUGGAUUUCCCUAGUGCAGUCUUUCAGAAAAAAUGAGUUUAUUAGCAUAGACAUUGUCCCCAUGGGUAAGAGUAUCCUUCUGUUUCAAUCUUAUUUUUGUUGGUUUAUCACCAUGAGCCUUGCUUGUGGCAAAGACAUUGGUUGAUGUGGAGAAGUGAAGAGUUUUUAUCAUUCUGAUCGUCCUAAGGUUGAUUUCUGCUAAAUUUAUUUUUAUCUUAUUUUUUUAAUUAUUGAGUCUAUGCAUAAACCAGAGAUUUCCAUUUCAUUAUUUACUAGAAUGAAAUUCACUGGGUGCCCAAAAGCAAAAUGAAAUUCACAUAUCUUUUCAACAUUUUGUAACCAACAACAAAUUGCUGUUGUUUUAAAGGGAAUAUCCCCGUGAUUAAUGCGGAUCAUGACCAAAUUUUAAUGCAGGAUUUAGAUUUAUUUUCUAUGACUAUCUCCCUCCUAAAUUUGUGUUUCUUAAACAACUAAACUUAUAACAAUCGGACACCCUUUAGCCUGUUUGGAGAUUUAACAUUUUUGGUCCCUUCUCAUGAAUUUUUCAGUUUUCUCGAUUAAUAGAAUGUGGGAACUUGGUUUGAUGAUUCAAAAACAGAAGUUGAGUUGGGAGGAUGAUGCUCCAAAAGUUGAUAAGUUGAUAACCGUAUUCAUUAAGAUUCAAAUUUUGAUUGGAAACAGUACGGAAUACAGAGACACUCAAAAGAGAAACUACAGAUCCGCUACAAUUUAUUCAUAUGUGGUCUGCGUCUGGACAAAAAAAACUUGGGACGCAGGCUGCCAAAUCCUCAAGUGAAAAACUUGGGACGCAGACUGCCAAAUCCUCAAGUGAAGAAAGGAUGCCCCCAGAAACUGGGGUCCUCAUAAUGACCGUAAGGACCAAGAUGCAUCGUAUCUUGGCCUCUGGGUACCCCACAAUGACCAGACUGUCCGGAGGCUUGGGAGCUACAUCCAUUAGCAUUUGAUUCUCAAGUGACUCAAGAACCACCUCUAGAGGUGUCUUUUGGGCCACGGGAACUGCAGCUGGAGCAGCAGCACCGCCUGGUUGGGGUGCCUGAUGAUGGAAGUACUCCAUCUUGUGGCCCACUGCCUUCAACCGAUCAUCAAUGAACCACAUCAAAUCGCUAGAAUCUUUGAUGCUCAUAUCCUGCAACCCCUUCUCCCCAGCCUGGCACUGGUACAUGAGGUUUUCCAUCUCUAUUCUCCUGUUCUUCUUCUGUUGUUUUACCAGCUGGUCCUUAGCUUUGGCCACCCUCUGCCUCAUAUAGUUUUAUUGGUUUAACCUCUUCUUGGUCUGGUCGUUCUCUGGCUUGCACUUGAACUCCCUGAUCAUCCGUACUGUCUCCAUUGGAGUUUAAAGCUUUUAAAUUUCCAUGAAUGUGUAAACAGUGGGAGAAGAGCUUUUCCAUUGAUUUUCUAUUCAAGUUGGGCAUAGAGAAGUGUUUUUUAAUUUUUUCUGCAUGAAAUGUUGAAAUUGUUUCUAUGUGUAGAUUACAAUAUAUUAUCUCCCAAAGUCAUGUGUCUCCUAAAAAGCACUCUCAUGUAGGUGAUUUUUUUUUAUUUUUUUUUUUGAGAAUUAAUGGAGUUAUUAUGUUUGGAGUCGGAGUUCCUUUUUUUUACUUUAUUUGUUCUAUAGACACCACAAAAUGAGGGCAUGGCAAAUUUUUCCUGUUGCUUAAUUCAUUCAUCAACCAAAAAGGUUUUUCCAAUCUCUUAAAUCUAAAAAGGAGUGCUCUACCAUUCUUGGUUGAGUUAGAAAACGAUGUUCUACUCUAAUAAUAUUCUGUUAGGCAACCAUUUGGUCUCUUUCCCUUUUAGGUUUCUUUCUUUUUUGUGUUCUUGAAUAGUAUCUCUACUUUAAUGCAACUAGUAAUGAGAAAUUGUAAUAUUUGUAGGGAACAUUGGCUGAUAUAUUUCUAAGGGGCACCAUUUUAAUGACAAAUACUUGAGGGAUGACAUCUUUGGUAAGAGCUCCUUCCUUGCCUCCAUUUGUGUCAUUUUCCCAAGUGUUAUCAUAAUUGUCUUGCUUGAUAGAGCUCCCAUUACAUAUUCUUGGCCAUAACUGGCAUUAGCUUUUCACUCUAAAAAUAAUAAAAUUUAGUAGCAUAAUCACUAGGAAAGAAAACUACACUUACAUUAAAUAGACUAGUUGCAGAAUGUGCAUCAACUGUACUAAAUGGAUCAUCCAAGAGAUAUCCAUUUGCAUCUUAAUAUAAUGCACGUGCCAGUUGAACUCGUUGCUUCUGUCCACAACUCAAAUUAACAUCUCUUUCUCUUAUUCUAGUGAGAUCACUGAAUGGAAGCAUCUCGAUGUCCUUCACUAGGGAAUAGUUUUCAAUCACUUCCCUGUAUCUGUAUGGAUCCAUGGCAGACCCAAAAAGAAUAUUUUCUUGUGUAGUCUCUAUAAUGAUCCAUGCUGCCUGAGAGACAUAAGCCUUCUUUCCAUAUACUUAAACCUAGCAAAUAUGAGUCUAGAAACCAUAUUACUUUUCUAUACUAUCAAUCAACCAUUCUGCUUAAUCAAUGUAUUUACAAAUUUCCUAUCCGACCUGGACCCUUGGGAAAACUUCAAAUUAUCUUCUUUGAAUUUUUAGAUAAAAAAAGACGUCCUAAUAAUUUGUCACUCUUGUCAGCUACUAUAUAUGGUUGUGUCCUUCCUCAUUCUUUGAUUUCAUUUUCUUUCCUACCUAGAUUUUAAAAAGUUUUAUUAAAAAAACCCUUUUCUUUAGUUUAUUCAAAAUAUUUUAUAUUUAAUAGUGAAAAGUAUUAUUAACACUAAAAAAAUAAUUAAUUAGAUUUAUAUUAGCAAAAGAAACCUCUAAAUUAAGUUUACGUUUGGAAGUACUUUUUGUUUUUCAAAUUAGAAAUUUUAUAUAAAAAUAGAAUAUUGUGUAUGAAACAUAGAUAUUUAUCUUUUCUUUUUUUUUUUUUUUAAAGAAAAAUGAUUUUUAGAAAUUUUAGAAUUUGAGAUAGUAAAUUUUUUUAUAUCUUAAUUUUUAAAAUUUUUUUUUUUUUCAAGAUAAUUUUUUUUUUUUAAAGAAAAAAAAAGUUUUAGAAAUUUUAGAGUUUGAGAUAGUAAAUUUUUUUAUAUCUUACUUUUUAAAUUUAUUAUUUUUUUCAAGGUAAUUCUUUAAGAGUUUUUUUUUUAUCUUAUAUAAAUAUUAUUACUAUUUUCUAGUUUUAAAAAUAAAAAUAAAAAGUGUACUAUAGAAACAAACAUUAAUUUGUUAUAAAAAAAAUAUAAAUUAAAUAUAUCCAUUUUUCUCACAUCUUUAAACACACUCCAUUUUGCUAAACCCCUAAAGAAAGUUUCCAAUUUUUAGCAUAAAUAAUUGUGAGCUACCUAUAUUGAAAUUGACUUCUUAUAGGGGUUCUGUUUUCCGUACAUCCACCGUACUUGGACUCCCUCAAACACAUCUACCACCUCCUCAUGACCAUCAAUGCCCCACCAUGGAUCCCAUUUUCUCAAACAUAUCUCUACUUUCCAUACCAUUCUCUCUUCCAAUUUUCUUCUACUCCUCUUAUAUCUAAGAAUGGUUGGUGUAGACAUAGAGAAGGAUUGGUAAUCCUUAUUAGAAUUUGUUUUCCAUUACUAUUUUGAGUUGGAAUCAUCCUCUUUUAGACCAUGUUUUAGAUUUUUAUUUGGUUCUAGCUUUAUUACCAUUUUUUUAUGUUAUGAUUUGUGUGAAAAAAUAUUUGUAAAAAUGCUUCCUUGAAAAUAAAUUUGGAGCUAUUUAGAAUAUUUAUAAUUAUAAUAAAUUUGUGAAAAUAAAUUAUUAUAAUAACCAAAAAUAGUGUCCCUUUUGUAAACUUCUGCUUUGCUUAAUGGAUACGUGGAGAACGUAAUGGAAAAAAAUUAUUACAGCCAAUCCAGAACCCCCUAAAUAUAAUUCCAAUUUCCAAUAGAAAAUGAGGAAGAAAACCAAAUCCCAUUCUCUUUAUAACUUAUACUACUCUCUUGUAAGGAUGAUAAUGCCCAUCUGUCUUGCUAUUAAUUAUAUAUUGAUUAUGCUAUUAAUUAUGUUUGUUGUACUGUUAAGAUAAAUUGGAAUUCAAAAAACCUUCCUUUGUCAAUGUUGCACAUUCGAUGAGGUCUAUUACUAUUAGACGAUGCCUAAUUGAAUAUUUUAAUGGACUAUUGAUGUUGAUAUUCUCUUGUCCCAAACUUGAUUUGUUUUUCUAUUUUCUUUUGGGAUAUACUAAAGAUUUAAUGGAUUAUUGAUGUUAAUGGUCUCUUGUCCCGUAUUUGAUUAAUCUCUUGCUUUGUGUUUUAACUAUUGAUAAUAAUUUUUUUGUAAUUAUUCUUAGGGUCACAUAUGUCAAUUGGUAUACACAUUUGUUUUCCUAUUAUAUUUUUAUUGUCAUUUCUUUAAUUACCAUCUUAUGUAUGCAGAUGCCCUCAUUUCAGUCUAGUAAGAGUUGUAGAUCACAGUUUGACGAUUCUCAUAUGUUCUCAUCUCAUGAUAAGUAAUUUCUUCCUCCAUAGUAAUAGAAGAUAAUAGUUUUAUACAUAAACUAUUUCAAUAUAACAAAUCAAAUUAUUACAUCAUCACCAAUGUUGUUACAUGGAGAAGUUAUGUUUGUUAUUGUUGUAUGAAGAAGAAGCAUGUAAUUUGUGAACUCAAUAAAUCAAAUUAUUAUAUGAUUAUCAUCAAUGUUGUCAUUAUUAUUGUUGUUGUUGCAUAGAGAAGUUGUUAUUGUUAUAUGUUUGGACUAAACAAUUCAAAUUAUUACUAAUAUAAUUAUCACCAUUGAUCAUCAAUGUUAUUGUUAUUGUUGUUGUUGUUGUUACAUGGAGAAAUUGUUAUUGUUGUAUGGAGAAGUUGUUAUUGUUGUUAGAGAAGUUGUUGUUGGAUGGAGGGAUGGUAGAGAGCUUUUUUUGUGUAGGGUUAAUUAUUAUAUUUUGGUUAUAAUUUUGGAAUUGGAAAUAAAGGCAAGUUUUAGAAUGGUUGUUAUUAUGACAUUCAACCAAUGAUUUGUAGGUUUCUAUUUCCUUGGUUUUGCUCUAUUAAUUUUUAGUUUAAUACUCUUUUUUUCCUUAUGGAAUGUUAUUAGUCAACUAAAUUUGAUAAUAUAGGAAAGUUGUAAGAAGAAAUUAAGGCAUUUACAAGUGGUUGAUAUUAAAUGUCUUAUAUUACUAGAUAUGAUGAUUUAUGAUUGAAACUAAUUAUAAACCAUACCUAUUGGUAUCUUCAUAUAUUUAUUAAUGAGAAAUGAGUUUCAUAUGUUAGACAUGAUAAGAAAAUAUUAUAUUACAUUCCAUAUUGUAGAAUUUAUACAAUUGAAAGUCUAACUUGUUUCCUCUAACUUAAUAAUGAACUAAAAGUCUAUUAAUAUUUUAUAAACAAGUGUCAAAUUAAACAAUUUUUCAUCUUCAUUAAUUGAAGCAUAACAUCUCAUUAAAUACCAAGUUAUUCUUAUUUGCACUUCUUUCAUGGGCCAUUUAUAGAUUUAAAUUUAACUUUCAUUGCAUGUAUAUUAACUAAUCAUAAUUUGUUUCUUCUAUUAAUUCUUUUUUUAAAUGUAUACAGGUAAAAGAUUUCAAGUUCAGGAGUGGAUAUGCAACCAACAGAAAUACUUUUGGCUAGAAAUACUUAUGGCUUCUUCUUCUUCUUCUUGUAAUAUUAUUUUUGAUAAGGAAUUUAGAGACCUUGUUUUUUGGUACAUGUGUACUUGUUUUAUGUUGAAGUUGGAAAAUAUGCUUGUAAAUAUUUUAAUACAUUUACAAAUUUGCAUAUUAAUUAACUAUAUAGACAUUAGUUCUUUAUCAUGAUAUUAUUC
rnacentral:lncRNA from 1 species